AGACCCGAAACCCGGUGAUCUAGCCAUGGGCAGGUUGAAGGUUGGGUAACACUAACUGGAGGACCGAACCGACUAAUGUUGAAAAAUUAGCGGAUGACCUGUGGCUGGGGGUGAAAGGCCAAUCAAACCGGGAGAUAGCUGGUUCUCCCCGAAAGCUAUUUAGGUAGCGCCUCGUGAAUUCAUCUCCGGGGGUAGAGCACUGUUUCGGCUAGGGGGCCAUCCCGGCUUACCAACCCGAUGCAAACUGCGAAUACCGGAGAAUGUUAUCACGGGAGACACACGGCGGGUGCUAACGUCCGUCGUGAAGAGGGAAACAACCCAGACCGCCAGCUAAGGUCCCAAAGUCAUGGUUAAGUGGGAAACGAUGUGGGAAGGCCCAGACAGCCAGGAUGUUGGCUUAGAAGCAGCCAUCAUUUAAAGAAAGCGUAAUAGCUCACUGGUCGAGUCGGCCUGCGCGGAAGAUGUAACGGGGCUAAACCAUGCACCGAAGCUGCGGCAGCGACGCUGAUGCGUUGUUGGGUAGGGGAGCGUUCUGUAAGCCUGCGAAGGUGACCUGUGAGGGUUGCUGGAGGUAUCAGAAGUGCGAAUGCUGACAUAAGUAACGAUAAAGCGGGUGAAAAGCCCGCUCGCCGGAAGACCAAGGGUUCCUGUCCAACGUUAAUCGGGGCAGGGUGAGUCGACCCCUAAGGCGAGGCCGAAAGGCGUAGUCGAUGGGAAACGGGUUAAUAUUCCCGUACUUGGUGUUACUGCGAAGGGGGGACGGAGAAGGCUAUGUUGGCCGGGCGACGGUUGUCCCGGUUUAAGCGUGUAGGUGUGUGUUCCAGGUAAAUCCGGUUCACUUUAACACUGAGGCGUGACGACGAGGCACUACGGUGCUGAAGCAACAAAUGCCCUGCUUCCAGGAAAAGCCUCUAAGCAUCAGGUAACAUCAAAUCGUACCCCAAACCGACACAGGUGGUCAGGUAGAGAAUACCAAGGCGCUUGAGAGAACUCGGGUGAAGGAACUAGGCAAAAUGGUGCCGUAACUUCGGGAGAAGGCACGCUGACACGUAGGUGAAGUGAUUUACUCAUGGAGCUGAAGUCAGUCGAAGAUACCAGCUGGCUGCAACUGUUUAUUAAAAACACAGCACUGUGCAAACACGAAAGUGGACGUAUACGGUGUGACGCCUGCCCGGUGCCGGAAGGUUAAUUGAUGGGGUCAGCGCAAGCGAAGCUCCUGAUCGAAGCCCCGGUAAACGGCGGCCGUAACUAUAACGGUCCUAAGGUAGCGAAAUUCCUUGUCGGGUAAGUUCCGACCUGCACGAAUGGCGUAAUGAUGGCCAGGCUGUCUCCACCCGAGACUCAGUGAAAUUGAACUCGCUGUGAAGAUGCAGUGUACCCGCGGCAAGACGGAAAGACCCCGUGAACCUUUACUAUAGCUUGACACUGAACAUUGAGCCUUGAUGUGUAGGAUAGGUGGGAGGCUUUGAAGUGUGGACGCCAGUCUGCAUGGAGCCGACCUUGAAAUACCACCCUUUAAUGUUUGAUGUUCUAACGUGGACCCGUUACCCGGGUUGCGGACAGUGUCUGGUGGGUAGUUUGACUGGGGCGGUCUCCUCCUAAAGAGUAACGGAGGAGCACGAAGGUUGGCUAAUCCUGGUCGGACAUCAGGAGGUUAGUGCAAUGGCAUAAGCCAGCUUGACUGCGAGCGUGACGGCGCGAGCAGGUGCGAAAGCAGGUCAUAGUGAUCCGGUGGUUCUGAAUGGAAGGGCCAUCGCUCAACGGAUAAAAGGUACUCCGGGGAUAACAGGCUGAUACCGCCCAAGAGUUCAUAUCGACGGCGGUGUUUGGCACCUCGAUGUCGGCUCAUCACAUCCUGGGGCUGAAGUAGGUCCCAAGGGUAUGGCUGUUCGCCAUUUAAAGUGGUACGCGAGCUGGGUUUAGAACGUCGUGAGACAGUUCGGUCCCUAUCUGCCGUGGGCGCUGGAGAACUGAGGGGGGCUGCUCCUAGUACGAGAGGACCGGAGUGGACGCAUCACUGGUGUUCGGGUUGUCAUGCCAAUGGCACUGCCCGGUAGCUAAAUGCGGAAGAGAUAAGUGCUGAAAGCAUCUAAGCACGAAACUUGCCCCGAG
rnacentral:rRNA from 1 species